AAACCAACAGGGAUUGCCUUAGUAGCGGCGAGUGAAGCGGCAAAAGCUCAAAUUUGAAAUCUGGCACUUUCAGUGUCCGAGUUGUAAUUUGUAGAAGGUAUCUUUGGAGUUAGCUCUUGUCUAUGUUCCUUGGAACAGGACGUCACAGAGGGUGAGAAUCCCGUGCGAUGAGAUGUCUAACUCUAUGUAAAGUUCCUUCGAAGAGUCGAGUUGUUUGGGAAUGCAGCUCUAAGUGGGUGGUAAAUUCCAUCUAAAGCUAAAUAUUGGCGAGAGACCGAUAGCGAACAAGUACAGUGAUGGAAAGAUGAAAAGAACUUUGAAAAGAGAGUGAAAAAGUACGUGAAAUUGUUGAAAGGGAAGGACUUGAGAUCAGACUUGGUAUUUUGUAUGUCUUGCUUUCGGGUGGGGCCUCUACAGUUUAUCAGGCCNGCAUCGGUUUGGAUGGUAGGAUAAUUGCAUUGGAAUGUGGCACAGCUUCGGUUGUGUGUUAUAGCCUUUCUCGAUACUGCCUGUCUAGACCGAGGACUGCGUCUUUGACUAGGAUGCUGGCAUAAUGAUCUUAAGUCGC
rnacentral:rRNA from 1 species